rnacentral:other from 1 species
UUCCCCCUGCCUUGUGCGAUACCUACGGCUUCGAUAACCCAACACCGAUCUUUAGGGAGCCGAUCUCCGGAGCCGGAUUGCAGACCUCCCGGCGGAGGCGGCGCCGUUUGGCGCCGACGCUUCGUUGGACGAAGGGAGCGCGAACGUUCCGGGAGGCGCCCACCUGCCGCAGGCAGGUUAUUCUUAGCCGUUCCCGGCUUGGCGGGGGAGAU